UAUGCUACAAACUUCUAAGCUAAAAUAUUUUCAAUGUAUGCAAGGAUAGGUGGCAUACACAUUAUAUAUUAUUCCCCCAUUAAGCAAAUUUAUAAUGAGAGAAAAUUAUCUUCCAUAAAAAAAUAAAAGCCAUGUAAAAUUAAGGACUAAGUUUUUCAGCACAGACUAGACAACGAUUGCUAACACAUAAGGUCAAUGACAGAACAGUCAGAGAAAGCUUCAUGAAAACAAAAAAAUUGUCUGCCAGGUCUGAAUGAAUGAGGCUAGAUGAACAGAAACUGAGAAGGCAGAAAGAAUAGCAUGAGCAAGACAAGUGCUGAAAUCUGCCCAAUUAACUCUGAGGAUAAAGUCCAAUGGCAGGGAAAUAAAAACCCGUGUCCACAUAAUAACCUGUAAGUGAAUGUUCACAGCAGCAUUUUUCAUAAUAGCUAAAAAGUGGAAACUAACCUAAAGGUCCAUCAACUGAUGAACGAAUGGAAAACCAGUAUAGCCAUGGAAUAGAAUAUCAUUUAACUAUAAGAAGAAAUAAACUACGAAUGUGUGCUAAAACAUGCAUGAAUUCUGAAAACAUUAUGCUAAGUGAAAAAGCCAGUCACAAAGGACUACAUAUUGUAUAACUCUAUGUAUAUGAAAUAUGCAGAACAGGCAAACAUAUGGAGACAAAAGUAGACGGUGGUUGCCUACAACAGGGGUAGGUGGAGGGACAUGGAGGAAGGCUGCAGUCAUGCCUAGGAGAUGUGGGGUCACUUUUCAGGGUGACGAAAAUGCUGUGAACAUACUAAUAGACACUGAGUUGUACAUUUUAAAUGGUUGAACUGUCUGAUAUGUGAAUGACAUCUCAGUGAAUCUUUUUAAAAUCCAAAGGCAGGAUCAAGAUAAUUUUCUCAACUCUUAAUUUUUGAUGUACAUGCUAUAUCAAAUCUAAAUAUUUCUACAGUUUUACAGUAUAUUUUAAAUAAAAGAUAAAGAAAAUGCCUAACUUUUCAAAUAGUUUGUAAAUUAACCUAAAACAUGCACAUUUCAAAGAAUAGUAUAAUGGCCUUUCUGUACAAGUUAACCUAGAAUCUGUGAAACAAAUAGACACAGAUUCUGUGUCCAUUCACAAAAGUGAAGAAAUAAGACAAUUUUCUGGAACAUUCCAUGAAACAUUCUCCUCUGAUUUAAUCUGGCUUGCCUCAUCAGAGCAAUACACAAAUUACUUAAAAAUACUGUUUAACAGGAAAAAAGUCAAUUUUCUAUGAGGAAUGAUGUAUAAUUCUCAACUUUUCCAAGGGUACAUAUUGUAAGAGAAAAGGUAUGCAAUGGUUUUUCAAAAUGGUAUAAUGAAAGUCACAAUAUAAAAAAAAGUACAUUAUAAAGAUAGUAAAAUGGAAAUCAUUCAUUAUAAUGAAAAUAAAAAAUCAAGCUUCUGCCAAAAUUAGUAUCCUAAAACACGUUAUAUAAUUCAACUAGCUACAGAAUAACUGUUGACAUGUUAAAUUCCAUACAUACUUGACUUUUCACUUGAAAUAAUUUCUUAUUUGAGGCCUGUGUCUCAUCCAAAUUAAUAUGACAACGUGAUAUACCUUCCAGUGGAGACUCUAACGUCGUUAAUUUUUUUACGCUGUCAGCCACUUCUUGUUGAAGUUGUCUCACAACCACCUGAUAAAAUAUUUGUUACUGAUUUUAUAAACUGCCUUAUUAAAUUAUGUUAAUAAUGUUUAAUUUCCUGCCAAAUUGGUAUUCUCUUACUUACACAACAGAUUCAUUCCAACAUUCAAUCAUCUCAGAAGCUCAACUCAGCCUCAAAGUUCCUAACAUAUUCAAUCACCUGUUCAAAUCCUUCCAACAGAUUCCUAUCUCAGAAUAAAAGUAAAAUUCCAAUGGCCUUUGAGGCCCUAGGUAAAAAGGCCUCUACCUCCCUCUCUGACUUCAAAGCUCCUACAACUCCCUCCUGUAAUUACUCCAUUCCCACUGUAUGUGAAGCCUGCCACCCCUCAGUCUGAAAAUGGAGAUGUAGUGCCUAACUCGUAAAUCACAGACAGCUACAAGUAUCUUUGUACUGAACAAAAUUAUAUUCCAAUGACAGUCAUUGAGCCUUGCAAUAAAAAUUAUGAGCUAAUUAUUAAUAUAAAUAUUCAAAGUAAACUAUAAAUACCAGUGGGAAAACUAAACCAAAUAUAGUUUUGCUAAGUUUUACCACAUUUAUCCUAAAUUAUGAUUUUAUAACAAGUAGGUGCCUUUAA
rnacentral:lncRNA from 1 species